GGAGGUGACUGGUGCCUGGUGGUGCCCCUGGUCUUCAAAACCAGUGUGGGGCUUGCAAGAGUCCCGGGUGGGUUCGAUUCCCAUUCACCUCCGCCA
rnacentral:tRNA from 1 species